CGCCGCUGCCGCCGGGCGCGGGCAGCUGCCCGCCGAGGAGGUGACGGGGCGGGGGUGAGGCCUUGCCGCCGCUGACCGGCCCCGGCUAAGCGGGUCCCUAGGCCAGUUGCGGGCUGCCUCAGUGCGCAGUUGCUAAGCCCAAGAUGAUGCAUCUUUCCAUUAACAACUGUAAAAAUUACGUUGUUAGUAGUCUGCAUCACAAAUGAAAAGACUAUGGAUGAUUCUGGUCUUUUCCUUCAGGCCUUGGUGAAUCAUGAAAAUGAUGGAAAGUUGAUUUUUCUAAAGGAGCAGCAGCUGUGCUUUGCUAAAGUUCACAAACCUUAAAUGAGAGGGCCAAGAAUAAGACUACAUCUCCAGACUCCUAAUCCCUCUCCCAGAUAGAUAACCACGUUACCUCUAAGGAUCAAUAACAUUCUCAGAAGGAUCCUUGGUGCUGCUGAAUAGCAACAGCUGGAGCAUGGACACGCAAGCUUGGGCACCUCUACUGCUGUAUCACCACCUCCUCUACCCGUGACAGUGAAUGUAACACCUCUAAUGUGGUCAUGCUUCAGCUCUGAUGUAAACCUCACAGUGCUUGUGCCAACUCUGAAUGCCUGAUGGAGCAGAUAUUGCAUGGAAAGCUUCUUUCAUCCAGUUUAUUACAGCUGUGUGGCAGCUUGGUGGAUGUCGCACCUUCAGAGCAAGAGCUGAGGCAUUUACAAAUGGAUGACUGCACCACCAACUGAAAAACACUGUGUUCUUUACAUUGUAUGCUAACAGAAGCCCGCAGGAAGAAUCCUAGCCUGCCCCACACUGCUGACAUUGGAUCUUGAAGUCAGACAGAAAAGUCUCCUGCUUUAAAGAAGUCUCACGAAGAAGCCACAUGUGACAAUCAAAGAACCAUGAAUUUAAAAAGGAUCUCAGGUGAUGAAAAGGGAAGCUUUGAAAUGAAACAAACUUCCUCCAAGCCAGGACGAUGCAGAAGCUGAUAUACAUCCUUAAGCAGAUUACUGAACCACUGGGUCAAAUUUCAAGCCUACCGUGUAAGGUGGUGACCUUUCCAGGGCUUCCACCUUGCAGUCUUAUCCCAGACAUGCCCUCUGCAACUAGCUUGUCCUCCUUGUACCUAAAAAUUUUUAUUCAAACCAUUACCCAUUAAAGAUAAAAAUGAAAAGGGAAAAUCAAAGUGAAAUGGAAAGGAAAGAUUUAUUCUUGUGAAGUGGCUAAUGUGAUUAGUUUUAUUGCAAAGAAGAGCUGGUGAAGCUGCAGUUUUGAUCUCUCUCUAGCUUGGGAGCUGUAGCCAUGUUGUACAGCAUGCUUUAAGAUCUCAGUGCUCUGGGCAAGGGGACCAACCCUUUGAAGUGUUUGGGGUUUUUUUUUUCCUCUCCCUCUCCUUUUUUCCUUGGGUGGACAAGAAAACCAGAGAAUAUGUUUAAACAGCCUAGAUUUUUUCAUAGUCUAUGAUCUCUGGGUAGGGAUAAUCCUCAUGGUUUGCAUUGUGACCACCAGCAUCAGGACUGUUUGUUUUGAGCUGUUGGCUUUCCUCUGAAUGUAGUGAUAAUAGUCCCUUAAGUCCCAAAGUGCUUUGUAGAGGUAAAAGGGCAAGGCCUGUUUCACAAAUGGGAUGUGUGAGGUACAGGGAGGUUAAGAGACCUUUUCAUUUACUGCAGCGAGCCAGUAAUGGGGCUAGGAAUAUUCACUGUGUCUCCAGGCUCCCGUCCACUUAUUUUGGAAAUGAAGUACAAAAGUAGAAAGUACAAAGAAAACAAUAGAAUCAUAAAAUAGCCCUGCCACCACCACGACCUCCAUCACCAACGUUAAGCAAUGUAUAAGUUUUCUUUAGGAGCUGGAGCAACUUCCACUGGUCCUACCCCGUGCAGAAUAAAAACAUUUUUUUCCCUAUUGUUCCCUGGAGUGCUGUUUGUCAUCAGUGUUGCUGAACUUUUCUCUCUGUUUUUCUCAGUGUAAUCACAAUGGUUGUUGCUUUAAACUGGAUUUGAAGGGCUAAAGUCUGUGCUUUGCCAAGUUUGUGCAUACAACAUUUGCUUGAAGGCAGUGAAAUUCUUACAAAGAAAGUUGAUAAUUGCAGCUUGUAAUUAACUAAUUAGUCAAGACUUCAGUUAUUAGUCAAGAAAUCUGCCUUCUUCAAGGUCAGUGCAGGAUGGAGUCACGCCAUCAUUUCCUUCUGUUUAUGUACUGUGUGUGGGGAAAGGAAACGAAGGACAGAGACAUCUCAUCUGACUUGAGGCACUUACAAGGCAGGUUGUUUACAUCGGACCUUGCUGUUGAGCAUCCUUUUACAGUCAUCGGGGAGAAAGAAAUACUCCUACAAACAAUUCAUCUCAUCACAGAUAGAUACCUAAAAUAUGUACUGUGAUGGUCUCUACUGUGAACUCCUGUGACAGCCAUUUAAAUGACCAACUCAGAUGUGGACAUCAAUACUACCUAAAGUAAAAAUUUAGAAGGAAAGUGAAGCCCAACCAAAAUUCCUUUAUUUACAGAACUUUUUUUCCUAACUUUAUUUCUUGGCUUGUCAUAAAUAUUUUUUUUUUGCCUGAGUUUCUGUAAAUUCUAUCAUUGUCUAUAGGUUUGGAUGGAGAAAUAAUUACAAGAAAACAAAGUCUGAGGGGAGGAAAUGUAUGUGCUGAGAAGGCAGUGGAUGAGAUUUCCCAAGGAAUGAUAAGCUCUGGUGAAUAGUGUGAUCUGCAAGAGCUGAUACAUUCUGGAACCAAGAGGACUAUGGUAAAACUGUAAACUUACUUAGAUGAGAAAAUAAGCAUGUGCAUAUACGUAGCACACAGAAGACCAUACAGCUGAGGAGCCAUGAAGCUGCUGGGAAAGCUGGUGGGGAAUGGUGCAGAAUAGUGAAUAGAUCAGAUGGGUAAUCCAUAGGUGGUGUGAUAUGAUGUACCUGUGCCCUUGACAUCUACAUAGCCAGAGGCUAUGAAAAAAUGGACCCUACCUUUAACUCAAAUUAUGUUUUGAUGCAAAAGGUUCCAAGCGUUGUGUAAACUGUUGACAAGGAAAUCAAUAAGGCAGCAUUACACGGUAGACCUGAUGAUUGUAAACUUUUAUUAUUACUAACACUCAAGGAAAAAAGGACCGCUGCAACUUAAUCAUUGCUAAUUAUUUGCAUGACGGUUAUCUCCUAGAGAUCAUACAGGCAUGCCAUGUCCAUAUUCACAGUAAGAAAUUCUGUACCUUGAAGUAUUUAUUCAGCCUUAUACUAGAAUGAGAAAUGGGUGCAGAAACAACUUGUCCAACAGAAGACUAUAAGCUGUCCUUCCACCAAGCAGUUUAGUGGCUUGUUUGCUGUUUAUUACUGUAAAUGUGGUCACAGAAUCACACAGAAUCACAGUAUGGUAGGGCUGGAAGGGACCUCUGGAGAUCAUCUACUCCAACCCCCCUGCCAGAGCAGGGUCACCUAGAGCAGGUUGCACAGGAGUGUGUCCAGGUGGGUUUUGAAUGUCUUCAGAGAAGGAGACUCCACCACCUCUCUGGGCAGCCUGUUCCAGUGCUGUUCAAAGUAAAGAAGUUCCUCCUCCCUCUGCUGCAGACGAGAGCUUGGUGGUACAUGCUUCCUUCUCUAUGUUUUAUUUUGCUAACACUUUUUUCUCCUCGAGUCUAACAAAGCGCAAAAUAUCAAAGUCAUAGGUUUAUAAGGAAAAAGUUUCAUGCAAAACUUCAACAUCAGAAUGCAAGGUAAAUACACCUUACAGAGCCUCUCUGCAGAUUAAAAGUUAAAAAUAAGGCUAUAACUGUAUAUCCUAUUGGUGUUUGCAGCUCACUGUUUCCACCAUCAACCUCCUUGUUUUAUAGGAUUUAUAAAUCAGCUUUGAAAUUUUUCUCCAGGCUAAAUUUUGGCAUAGCAGGUCACAGCCAAGACUUGGUUUUGCUAAAACUCAUUAAAAAUGGUUUGAUGUUUUAAAUUACACUGAAGCAAGAGAGGAAAAAUUCUAUUUCUGUGGCUUUCAGCAUUUCCUCCCCCGCAGUCCCAUCCAAUUUGAAU